GAGGUGUUAGUCCAAAAAAGACAGCUGACUUCGACUCAGUUAAUUAUGGUUUAAGCCCAUAACACCGCU
rnacentral:tRNA from 1 species